rnacentral:rRNA from 1 species
GGAGGAAACCAUGGGAUCGCAAGACCUUGCGCUCAUUGAGCGGCCGAUGCCUGAUUAGCUAGUUGGUGAGGUAAAGGCUUACCAAGGCGACGAUCAGUAGCUGGUCUGAGAGGACGACCAGCCACACUGGGACUGAGACACGGCCCAGACUCCUACGGGAGGCAGCAGUGGGGAAUUUUGGACAAUGGGGGAAACCCUGAUCCAGCCAUGCCGCGUGAGUGAAGAAGGCCUUCGGGUUGUAAAGCUCUUUCAGCCGGAACGAAACGGUCACGGCUAAUACCUGUGACUACUGACGGUACCGGAAGAAGAAGCACCGGCUAACUACGUGCCAGCAGCCGCGGUAAUACGUAGGGUGCGAGCGUUAAUCGGAAUUACUGGGCGUAAAGCGUGCGCAGGCGGUUUUGUAAGUCAGAUGUGAAAUCCCCGGGCUUAACCUGGGAACUGCGUUUGAAACUACAAAGCUAGAAGGG